UACAGAGGUCUCAAGCGUUGUUCGGAUUCAUUGGGAGUAAAGGGUGCGUAGGUGGCGCCGUAAGUCAGGUGUGAAAUUUCGGAGCUUAACUCCGAAACUGCAUUUGAUACUGCGGUGCUUGAGGACUGGAGAGGAGACUGGAAUUCACGGUGUAGCAGUGAAAUGCGUAGAUAUCGUGAGGAAGACCAGUGGCGAAGGCGGGUCUCUGGACAGUUCCUGACACUGAGGCACGAAGGCCAGGGGAGCAAACGGG
rnacentral:rRNA from 1 species